rnacentral:rRNA from 1 species
UACGGAGGGAGCUAGCGUUGUUCGGAAUUACUGGGCGUAAAGCGCACGUAGGCGGCUUUUAAGUCAGGGGUGAAAUCCCGGGGCUCAACCCCGGAACUGCCCUUGAAACUGGAGAGCUAGAAUCUUGGAGAGGCGAGUGGAAUUCCGAGUGUAGAGGUGAAAUUCGUAGAUAUUCGGAAGAACACCAGUGGCGAAGGCGACUCGCUGGACAAGUAUUGACGCUGAGGUGCGAAAGCGUGGGGAGCAACAGG